AUUGAACGCUGGCGGCAUGCCUUACGCAUGCAAGUCGAACGGUAACAGGUCUUCGGAUGCUGACGAAUGGCGAACGGGUGAGUAAUACAUCGGAACGUGCCUAGUAGUGGGGGAUAACUACUCGAAAGAGUGGCUAAUACCGCAUGAGAUCUACGGAUGAAAGCAGGGGAUCGCAAGACCUUGUGCUACUAGAGCGGCCGAUGGCAGAUUAGGUAGUUGGUGGGAUAAAAGCUUACCAAGCCGACGAUCUGUAGCUGGUCUGAGAGGACGAUCAGCCACACUGGGACUGAGACACGGCCCAGACUCCGACGGGAGGCAGCAGUGGGGAAUUUUGGACAAUGGGCGCAAGCCUGAUCCAGCAAUGCCGCGUGCAGGAUGAAGGCCUUCGGGUUGUAAACUGCUUUUGUACGGAACGAAAAGCCCUGGGUUAAUACCCUGGGGUCAUGACGGUACCGUAAGAAUAAGCACCGGCUAACUACGUGCCAGCAGCCGCAGUAACAC
rnacentral:rRNA from 1 species